GAUCUCUUGGUUCUGGCAUCGAUGAAGAACGCAGCGAAAUGCGAUAAGUAAUGUGAAUUGCAGAAUUCAGUGAAUCAUCGAAUCUUUGAACGCACAUUGCGCCCGGUAGUACUCUACCGGGCAUGCCUGUUCGAGCGUCAUUUCAACCCUCAAGCCCUGCUUGGUGUUGGGGCCCUACGGCUGCCGUAGGCCCUGAAAGGAAGUGGCGGGCUCGCUACAACUCCGAGCGUAGUAAUUCAUUAUCUCGCUAGGGAGGUUGCGGCGUGCUCCUGCCGUUAAAGACCCAUCUUUAACCAAGGUUGACCUCGGAUCAGGUAGGAAUACCCGCUGAACUUAAGCAUAUCAAUAAGCGGAGGAAAAGAAACCAACAGGGAUUGCCCUAGUAACGGCGAGUGAAGCGGCAACAGCUCAAAUUUGAAAUCUGGCUUCGGCCCGAGUUGUAAUUUGUAGAGGAUGCUUUUGGUGAGGUGCCUUCUGAGUUCCCUGGAACGGGACGCCAGAGAGGGUGAGAGCCCCGUAUAGUCGGCCACCGAUCCUUUGUAAAGCUCCUUCGACGAGUCGAGUAGUUUGGGAAUGCUGCUCAAAAUGGGAGGUAUAUCUCUUCU
rnacentral:rRNA from 1 species